rnacentral:rRNA from 1 species
UACGGGGGGGGCAAGCGUUGUUCGGAAUUACUGGGCGUAAAGGGCGCGUAGGCGGCUUUUCAAGUCGGGCGUGAAAUCUCCGGGCUUAACCUGGAAGGGUCGUUCGAUACUGUCGAGCUAGAGUGUGGAAGAGGCUACUGGAAUUCCGUGUGUAGCGGUGAAAUGCGUAGAUAUACGGAGGAACACCAGCGGCGAAGGCGGGAUAGCUGGGCCAACACUGACGCUGAGGCACGAAAGCGUGGGGAGCAAACAGG